ensembl:lncRNA
GGGUGAGUCCACAUUAAGGGUGAGUCCACAUUAAGGGUGAGUCCACAUUAAGGGUGAGUCCACAUUAAGGGUGAGUCCACAUUAAGGGUGAGUCCACAUUAAGGGUGAGUCUACAUUAAGGGUGAGUCUACAUUAAGGGUGAGUCCACCUUUAGGGUGAGUCCACCUUUAGGGUGAGUCCACAUUAAAGGUGAGUCAACAUUAAGGGUGAGUCCACCUUUAGAGUGAGUCCACAUUAAGGGUGAGGACACCGCUGUGGAGCUGUUAAGAGUAGGUUGCAGGUGGAACUGUUAGAAUAAGGGUGGAGGUGGAGCUGUUAAGUGUAGGGUGAAGGUGGAACUGUUAGAAUAAGGGUGGAGGUGGAGCUGUUAAGAGUAGGGUGGAGGUGGAACUGUUAGAAUAAGGGUGGAGCUGUUAGAGUAGGGUGGAGGUGGAACUGUUAGAAUAAGGGUGGAGGUGGAGCUGUUAGAGUAGGGUGGAGGUGCAUGCGUUAGAGUAGGGUGGAGGUGGAUGCAUUAGAGUAGGGUGGAGGUGGAGCUGUUAGAGUAGGGUGGAGGUGGAUGCGUUAGAGUAGGGUGGAAGGAGGUGGAGCGACCGGUUUGAUCCGCCUCAGGAUCGAGGGCCUGAUGGAGAUGUUCUGUAGAACCGGGCUGGUACCUCACUGGUGUAGGUGGAGAACGUUACUGGUGCCAGUACUGGUACUGGUUUGAGUGUAGACCAGUACCUCACUGGUGUAGGUGGAGAACGUUACUGGUACCAGUACUGGUACUGGUUUGAGUGUAGACCAGUACCUCACUGGUGUAGGUGGAGAACGUUAC